GAUGAACGCUGGCGGCGUGCCUAACACAUGCAAGUCGAGCGAUCUCUUCGGAGAGAGCGGCGGACGGGUGAGUAACGCGUGGGUAACCUGCCCUGUACACACGGAUAACAUACCGAAAGGUACGCUAAUACGGGAUGAUAUAUAAAAGUCGCAUGGCUUUUAUAUCAAAGCUUUUGCGGUACAGGAUGGACCCGCGUCUGAUUAGCUAGUUGGUAAGGUAACGGCUUACCAAGGCGACGAUCAGUAGCCGACCUGAGAGGGUGAUCGGCCACACUGGAACUGAGACACGGUCCAGACUCCUACGGGAGGCAGCAGUGGGGAAUAUUGCACAACGGGCGAAAGCCUGAUGCAGCAACGCCGCGUGAGCGAUGAAGGCCUUCGGGUCGUAAAGCUCUGUCCUCAAGGAAGAUAAUGACGGUACUUGAGGAGGAAGCCCCGGCUAACUACGUGCCAGCCGCCGCAGUAA
rnacentral:rRNA from 1 species